rnacentral:rRNA from 1 species
GACGAACGCUGGCGGCGUGCUUAACACAUGCAAGUCGAACGCGCCUGUCCUCUGGGUUUCUGGGGGGUGGGUGAGUGGCGAACGGGUGAGUAACACGUGAGUAACCUGCCCCCUUCUUCGGGAUAACGGUCUGAAAGGGCUGCUAAUACCGGGUAUUCACUGGUCUCCGCAUGGGGUCUGGUGGAAAGGUUUUUUUCUGGUGGGGGAUGGGCUCGCGGCCUAUCAGCUUGUUGGUGGGGUGAUGGCCCACCAAGGCUUUGACGGGUAGCCGGCCUGAGAGGGUGACCGGUCACAUUGGGACUGAGAUACGGCCCAGACUCCUACGGGAGGCAGCAGUGGGGAAUAUUGCACAAUGGGCGCAAGCCUGAUGCAGCGACGCCGCGUGAGGGAUGGAGGCCUUCGGGUUGUGAACCUCUUUCGCCCGUGGUCAAGCCGCGACGUGGGACGUGGUGAGGGUAGUGGGUAAAGAAGCGCCGGCUAACUACGUG